GCAUAUCAAUAAGCGGAGGAAAAGAAACCAACCGGGAUUGCCUUAGUAACGGCGAGUGAAGCGGCAAAAGCUCAAAUUUGAAAUCUGGUACCUUCGGUGCCCGAGUUGUAAUUUGGAGAGGGCAACUUUGGGGCCGUUCCUUGUCUAUGUUCCUUGGAACAGGACGUCAUAGAGGGUGAGAAUCCCGUGUGGCGAGGAGUGCGGUUCUUUGUAAAGUGCCUUCGAAGAGUCGAGUUGUUUGGGAAUGCAGCUCUAAGUGGGUGGUAAAUUCCAUCUAAAGCUAAAUAUUGGCGAGAGACCGAUAGCGAACAAGUACAGUGAUGGAAAGAUGAAAAGAACUUUGAAAAGAGAGUGAAAAAGUACGUGAAAUUGUUGAAAGGGAAGGGCAUUUGAUCAGACAUGGUGUUUUGUGCCCUCUGCUCCUUGUGGGUAGGGGAAUCUCGCAUUUCACUGGGCCAGCAUCAGUUUUGGUGGCAGGAUAAAUCCAUAGGAAUGUAGCUUGCCUCGGUAAGUAUUAUAGCCUGUGGGAAUACUGCCAGCUGGGACUGAGGACUGCGACGUAAGUCAAGGAUGCUGGCAUAAUGGUUAUAUGCCGCCCGUCUUGAAACACGGAC
rnacentral:rRNA from 1 species